rnacentral:rRNA from 1 species
CUACCUCAUACAGGGGGAUAACAGUUGGAAACGACCGCUAAUACCGCAUAACCCGCUAGUAUCGCAUGAUACAGACGGAAAAGAUUCAUCGGUAUGAGAUGGACCCGCGUCUGAUUAGCCAGUUGGCAGGGUAACGGCCUACCAAAGCGACGAUCAGUAGCCGGCCUGAGAGGGUGAACGGCCACAUUGGGACUGAGACACGGCCCAAACUCCUACGGGAGGCAGCAGUGGGGAAUAUUGCACAAUGGGGGAAACCCUGAUGCAGCGACGCCGCGUGAGUGAGGAAGUAUUUCGGUAUGUAAAGCUCUAUCAGCAGGGAAGAAAAUGACGGCACCUGACUAAGAAGCCCCGGCUAACUACGUGCCAGCAGCCGCGGUAAUACGUAGGGGGCAAGCGUUAUCCGGAUUUACUGGGUGUAAAGGGAGCGUAGACGGCUAAUCAAGUCAGAAGUGAAAACCCAGGGCUCAACUUUGGGACUGCUUUUGAAACUGAGUAGCUAGAGUGCAGGAGAGGUAAGCGGAAUUCCUAGUGUAGCGGUGAAAUGCGUAGAUAUUAGGAGGAACAUCAGUGGCGAAGGCGGCUUACUGGACUGUAACUGACGUUGAGGCUCGAAAGCGUGGGGAGCAAACAGGAUUAGAUACCCUGGUAGUCCACGCCGUAAAC